rnacentral:lncRNA from 1 species
AUGCUCAAAAUUCUCCAAGCCAGGCUUCAGCAAUACAUGAACCAUGAACUUCCUGAUGUUCAAGCUGGUUUUAGAAAAGGUAGAGGAACCAGAGAUCAAAUUGCCAACAUCUGCUGGAUCAUGGAAAAAGCAAGAGAGUUCCAGAAAAACAUCUAUUUCUGCUUUAUUAACUAUGCCAAAGCCUUUGACUAUGUGGAUCACAAGAAACUGUGGGAAAUUCUGAAAGAGAUGGGAAUACGAGACCACCUGACCUGCCUCUUGAGAAAUCUGUAUGCAGGUCAGGAAGCAACAAUUAGGACUGGACAUGGAACAACAGACUGGUUUCAAAUAGGAAAAGGAGUACGUCAAGGCUGUAUAUUGUCACCCUGCUUAUUUAACUUCUAUGCAGAGUACAUCAGGAGAAACGCUGGACUGGAAGAAAGACAAGCUGGAAUCAAGAUUGCUGGGAGAAAUAUCACUAACCUCAGAUAUGCAGAUGACACCACCCUUAUGGCAGAAAGUGAAGAGGAGCUAAAAAGCCUCUUGAUGAAAGUGAAAGUGAAGAGUGAAAAAGUUGGCUUAAAGCUCAACAUUCAGAAAACGAAGAUCAUGGCAUCUGGUCCCAUCACUUCAUGGGAAAUAGAUGGGAAAACAGUGGAAACAGUGUCAGACUUUAUUUCUUUAGGCUCCAAAAUCACUGCAGAUGGUGACUGCAGCCAUGAAAUUAAAAGACACUUACUCGUUGGAAGACAAGUUAUGACCAACCUAGAUAGCAUAUUCAAAAGCAGAGACAUUACUUUCCCGACUAAGGUCCAUUUAGUCAAGGCUAUGGUUUUUCCUGUGGUCAUGUAUGGAUGUGAGAGUUGGACUGUGAAGAAGGCUGAGCACGGAAGAAUUGAUACUUUUGAAGUGUGGUGUUGGAGAAGACCCUUGAGAGUCCCUUGGACUGCAAGGAGAUGCAACCAAUCCAUUUUGAAGGAGAUCAGCCCUGGGAUUUCUUUGGAAGGAAUGAUACUGAAGCUGAAACUCCAGUACUUUGGCCCCCUCAUACGAAGAGUUGACUCAUUGGAAAAGACUCUGAUGCUGGAAGGGAUUCAGGGCAGGAGGAGAAGGGGAUGA